rnacentral:pre_miRNA from 1 species
UCGGCGUAAAAUAGUGAGAAGCCGAUAUGGGGAAGUGAUCGACCCUUGGGAUAAGUUUAAAUUUUCUUUUUUUUACUCCAUAAAUAAACUUUUUACCGUGGGCAAAAAGAUUCUUCUUGGGGUAUAAAAAAAAAAUCAAAUUUAAAUUUAGCUCAAUGGUUGAUGAUGUAUUUUCCCCAUGAAGGUUGCUCACUAUUUUACCCUAA